GUUCCAGUCCAUCUCAUACAUGACAGAAGUUGUGGGUGCAGACUAUAAAGCACAAGCAGCACUAAGGAGGAGAAACUGGGUUGUUUGAACUAAGGAAUCCUAUCUGUACUGGAGCCUGGUCUCCUCCGUGAACACCAAGUUUUGAACACCAAGACAUCUGGCUGCUGGGAUACAGUCUAGGCUCACAGGAAAUGAUUCAUCAAUAUCUCGAACUGCUCCUUAGGCCAGAGCUUGGGACAUCAAAAAGAGACAAUGCAGAGAGGGAGGGAGAUUCUACCCUGAAAGAAGUGUCCUGCAGCUUUGACUCAGAAUUCCUGCCUACUUUUAGAAGUACCCGAGGUCCCAUAAUGGAGUAUUUUGGCCUGCUGCAUUGGCUCUGAAGGGACAGAGAAUUGCACAACACCCAGCCAUCCAGUGCCUAACAUCUCCUUUUUGACUACAUAUUGUAGUCUAUGCACUUAAAAAAUGUUCAGUUUAUAAAGUUCCGGCUCCUGCCUGACCACUGAAAUAGUGAAAUAUUUAAACUGUCUUAGGUCCAUUCAGAUAUUUUCUGAUGGAGAUGAAACAUUCAGGAAAAGUACAGAAGCAAGAUAUUUAUUCUAAAACUGACUGCUGGGCACAAGAUCUUUUGUAAAUCAGAAACAGUAUCACAGCAAUUGCAAUAUACCAUGCUACAGGGAGGCUAAGAUUCUCCAUCACUGAUAUUCAGGCAGACACAGGGAAAAAAAAAAUUCUUUCUGAGAUUAGAAUUUUAGCAUGUGAUGAACUUUUGACAUAUGUAUAAUUUUAAUUAAAGGAUGGAAUGCAAUAUAUGCUCGCAUGUAUAGAGUUUUUCUUUGGUACGGGGCCU
rnacentral:lncRNA from 1 species